UUGAACAACUGUACCUGCAUGACUUAUACAAGCUCGGAUAUCAGCCAAGGAGGUUCUGGCUGAGCGAUCUGGUUUGGUGAUCUACUAGACAUCAGAAAGUUUCCGGAUGCUGGCCAAGAUCUAUAUAUUCGAAUGUCAGCUUCAGAGAUAGAUGAUGGUAAAGUGAAGACAGGAAUUAUAGUUGCUGCUGUGAUAGCUGCAGUGUUUUCAGGAAUGCUCUUCGUUGGCCACUACUUCCACCGAAGCAGGACCAAUUAAAAGAAAAACAAGAAGAAAAUCAAAGUAGGGAGGGGGCACAAAAGGAGGACAUGGAGCUCCCGCUCUUCAACAUAACCAUAAUAGCUAGUGCAACAGAUAACUUUUCAGAUGAUAUGAAGCUUGGAGAAGGUGGCUUUGGACCUGUUUACAGGGGGACACUAACAGAUGGAAAAGAAUUUGCUGUGAAGAGGCUUCCAAGCAGUUCUGGUCAAGGAUUUAACGAGUUUAUGAAUGAAAUAGUAAUGAUUGCCAAACUUCAGCACCGAAAUCUUGUAAAGAUUCUUGGUUGUUGCGUGCAAGAAGAAGAGACAAGAAGAGAAAAUGCUGUUGUACGAAUACAUGCCCAACAGAAGCCUAGACAACUUCAUUUUUGAUCAAACAAGGGAAGAACUGUUAGACCGACCUAAACGUUUCCGCAUCAUUUGUGGAAUUGCUCGGGGUCUCCUCUAUCUCCACCAAGAUUCCAGGCUCAGGAUUAUACAUAGAGAUCUAAAAGCAAUGUUCUCCUUGAUGAUGAAAUGAAUCCUAAAAUUUCAUACUUUGGCUUGGCUAGAAUAUUAACCGGAGGAAAUCAAACUGAAGGAAAUUCUAAAAGGGUGGUCGGGACAUAUGGCUACAUGGUACCUGAAUAUGCUGCUGAUGGGAUAUUUUCUGUUAAAUCCGAUGUCUUUAGCUUCGGUAUAUUGGUGCCGGAGAUUAUAAGUGGAAGGAGAAACAAGGGAUUUUAUCAUCCAGACCACAACAAUAAUCUUAUCGGAAAUGGUUGGAGAUUGUGGAACGUAGGAAGGCCUUUAGAAUUGACUGAUUCAUGGUUAGAGAGCUCAUGUAAUCUAUCUGAAGUGUUACGUUGCGUCCAAGUUAGUCUUUUGUGCGUGCAACAUCAUCCUGAGGAUCGGCCAAGCAUGGCGUCUGUGGUUAUAAUGUUGGGAAGUGAUAUUGCAUUAUCUCAACCUAAACAACCUGGCAUGGCUUCUUUCUGGAAAAGGAACAUGAAGCAGUCCAUUUCACUAUAGGACAUGGACAAGAGAUGGAUGCAGUAUGACCGGGGGAACCCUGAAUACCAACAAGGAAUUCUAGAUUUUUUGUUAUUUGUACUUGAACAUGCUGAUGGCAGAACUAUACACAGGUGUCCGUGUGUUGAAUGUCAUAAUACUAAGUGGAAGACGAUUUAUGAAAUCCACGAACACUUGAAUACAAGAUGUAUUAUGCGUAGCUAUACUACAUGGAGUCUACAUGGAGUCUACAUGGUGAAACAUUAGAUAAUGAACCUACCUUGGAAGAAAUCCGAGCGGGACACUUUCAGCAUGCUGGCUCAUCCAACAGUAGUUUCGACCCUUAUGUGGAUCCUUCUAUGAACAUUAUACAUGAUGUUUUUCCUUCAUUUGCUACAAGACAUGAGGAAGAGGUUGUUUACGAUACCACUGAUGCAGACCAUGCUUUUUCAAAUGUUGACAAUGAUGAUUA